AUUUUGUUGAGUUUCUUCAACAGACUGGAAACAAAUGUUCCAGACCAUGUGCAAGGGAUGUGCUUUCCCUAUUGAACCUGGCGAUCGAUGGGUUGAGGCCAUGGGCAGCAACUACCACUCCGAGUGUUUUAACUGCUCCACUUGCCAGGUGUCAUUGGAGGGACAACCAUUCUAUGCUAAGGCAGGCAAACCCUACUGCAAGAAACAUGCACGAUAGAGUAAUGUGAAAAUGGUAAUGUUGACGACCUACCCAACCCCUGUGUCAGCCCAGACAGGGUACCUUGUCACUGCAAUGUGAACUUAACGUCGUAUAUCACCAUGACAAGGCUACAACAGACUUCAGGGGAUGGAACCAGAUAUUUUAUUCCUCCAACAAGCUAUUGACAUUCAAAAGACUGUCAACUCCAAAUCUACAAACAUGAAUAAAAGACUGUAAGCCUAUACAAUUGAUCCUCUGAUGAAAGCAAACUCUUAUCCUUGCUAUUGUACACAUUAGAACUAGGUUUUAAUUUCAUGUGUGAUACAUUUUAAUCCUCGCCAAAUAUAUAAUCUUCAAUUUGUGUUGCAAGGUAGACAACCCUGUUCUCCAAAUCCUGGAAGCUUAUUUGUCUGGCAAGCGAGUUGAAAAGGGACAUAACUUCCAAAUUUAUCAAUUGCAUGCAUCUUAUUGACGAUCAAUCCUUAUUUGUUAAGCCAAAACAACAGAACAUUAACUUAAACCAAUUUCUUGAUUGGUUGGAGUCCAAGGCAAAGAUCUUGUCCUUUAGGUUGCCAUGAUCCAUGCCUGUAGCUGUAUGACAGGGUUCUAUUGAAAUUUUAAUACUGAUUUUUUUGUAUAUUUUGUAAUUGUAUACAUAAUUUUCAAAUAGCAUAAUAUAUUUUCCUAAUUAAUGUCUCGAUGAUUUACGCCUUAUCUUUAUUAUAAACUUUACUGGUCCCAGUAUUGGCUUUAAUUCAACGGUGGACAUGUGUACGUGUCCAUUCCAUUGCUAUGGUUACCAUAUGAAAUGAUCUUAUAGGUUGGAAUGGAACAAACCAAACGAUUGACGUCUUAUGACUCCCAUACUAUAAUGUCAUCAUAAUAGCGGGGUUAAUGUCCAUACAGGUGCUGAGGAUGUUUAAACUAAUCAGCAUUACAUAAGUUAGUACAAAACUUACCUGAAAGGUUGGCAAGGAUAUUCAGUAAACUGGUUGAGGAUGUUGUUGACUAUCUGAUAAAUGUUAUAUGACGUAUUUGUCUGUUUGCUUAAUAUAUGGCUUCACAAAAAUUGUCAUAUUUUUUCCUGAACUACUAAAUAUACAGCUUUUUUCUCAUCAGUAAAAUUGAACAAAUGUUUUAUAUGCUGCAAUUUUUCUCACUUAUCUGCAAAAUAAAAUGAAAGUUUGGCAUGUGUUUGACAGGCAUUUUAGUAUACAAAUGCAUAGUUCCUGUACGGUUGAUCUAGAACAAAGCAGGGACGUAUAGUGAACAUAGUAAUUAUCUAUAUAUCAAUGUAUGAGUUAGUGAGACAUGAGUGAAGUAUAAAACCAUUGAAACAGAUAGCCUGUUGUAUAAGUCACAUUAUUUUGUGUGGAUUUUAUGUACAUAUAUGUAAAUUAGCAAUGCAUAUAAUACAAGCGACUCUAACCAUUCUUUGCUAAAUAUACUGUAGAAUUGCAUCUAUUUUUAGAAUUUAAAUGGCUUGUUGUUUGAAUUACAUUUUCGUAUUAUUAAGCAUUAAUUAUUUUUACAUAAAAUUGAAUAUUUUGAUACUGCUGAUCAUGUUUACAACUAGUAAAGUUUUGGCCUAUAUGUCUAUUAUCAGUCCAAAGGGUUGGGGUCAGAAAGUUGGAUGGGAUAUCAGUGAACACGUCAACAGAUGUCUCGACUCUAAUACAGAUGAUAAAGUAAACAACUCUCUGGUGAAGAGGCUUCAUUACAGAUCUGAUCAGGGUUUUUUGUCACACUGAAGAUAUAUUUGUCAAUGCCCUAUUGGUUAAUCAGCCAGUUAUGUUUCCUGUAGAGGACCCAUCUCAAGCAGAAUACAAGAUAAACAUAACUACGGUAAUAUUUACAUACCAAGGGAAACACUAUCUCAUGUUCACCAGGGACCUUACCGAUAGUUUAUUGUAUUAAAAGAAACACAACUUAUGAUGUGACAAAUGUGUUAAAGAUUUUAAUCAGGUUAUAUAGGCUGAUAUAACCUGCAUUUAGGUUAUAAUGUAAAAUAGACAAAUUAUAUUUAUACAUUGUAUGUAAGCUAAUUCACUGCCAGGGUAUGACGUAGGUACUAACAUGGUUGGUGUAUGUGUUCCCGUGUAGCUCCAUGUGUACCCAUAUAUAUUUAUCUACAUCAAUGGCAAGUGUAUCGCUGUCUUACAUACAGGCAUCUUAUACAGGGUUCAGGCCGACUUUACUCCCAUAACAUAUUUUGUUGAUAUGUAAAUUUUUUUUUAAAUCGGUAGAAGAAAUAUUAUUUGCCAAUUCGUGACCUUUUAAAACAUGAUGUGAUUACCUGUCAUUGAAAAGAGGAAUGUUACUAAGUCAAAAAAGUAAAACUUUCAUAAAAAAUGUCCA
rnacentral:lncRNA from 1 species